CGGUGAGGUAGAGGUGCAGUAUAUAAGAGUAGUCUGUUGGAGGAUGACAACAAUGAAAGCAGAUGAAAGGAUGUAUUGCCGAAGCAUAAUAAGUGUCAAGCUUAUUAUCGCUGGUAUGCUUUUGAAUAGGAGGUAUACUGUCAUGCAGCAAGCAACAUGCAUGGAGAACUACUGAUCGA
rnacentral:ncRNA from 1 species